AACGAACGCUGGCGGCAUGCCUAAUACAUGCAAGUCGAACGAGAUCUUCGGAUCUAGUGGCGCACGGGUGCGUAACGCGUGGGAAUCUGCCCUUGGGUUCGGAAUAACUUCUGGAAACGGAAGCUAAUACCGGAUGAUGACGUAAGUCCAAAGAUUUAUCGCCCAAGGAUGAGCCCGCGUAGGAUUAGCUAGUUGGUGGGGUAAAGGCUCACCAAGGCGACGAUCCUUAGCUGGUCUGAGAGGAUGAUCAGCCACACUGGGACUGAGACACGGCCCAGACUCCUACGGGAGGCAGCAGUAGGGAAUAUUGGACAAUGGGCGAAAGCCUGAUCCAGCAAUGCCGCGUGAGUGAUGAAGGCCUUAGGGUUGUAAAGCUCUUUUACCCGGGAUGAUAAUGACAGUACCGGGAGAAUAAGCUCCGGCUAACUCCGUGCCAGCAGCCGCAGUAAUAC
rnacentral:rRNA from 1 species